AAUCGGACCAAGUCGUUCGUAGUGCCGCUGAGCUCCGUCACAUUACUGAUCUUCAAUUCGAUUCAUCCAGUGCCAAAAUUACUGCAAUAAGAUUGAGUGGAACAUCAGAGAAGGCUUACAUUAGAUCUUAUAACGUGAAGCCGAACAGAAUCGGUGUCAAGAACAAGGCUAUUUAAUUUGGAUUUGUACAUGUAAUUUGGGUGAAAGAGUAAGUGAUUGGUUCUUAUAUGAUAUCCUUAUUUAAGCUGGACGGGUAGUUGACUCGCACAUGGGUAUACUUUUUAUGCAACCAAGUCCGUCUAAAAGUCUAAGAUUCAGAUUUUUCUUACUUUUUAGUUUCUUUGUGCUCUUAAUACUCUGGACUCUUUGGCUUAGUUAUAUGUCGAAGACAUAUGUUGAUGGUAGACACGAAGCCGAUGACGCUUUGCAGUCUGAAUUAAGUAUAAUGGUUUGGUUCAUUCAUUCACUGACUUGACACUUCUAAUGGGGUUUUCCAA